rnacentral:lncRNA from 1 species
UCUUUUUACAGCUGAGAAAACAAACAGAGGCUCAGCGAGGUGAAGCCGGUUGCCCAAGGUCACACAGCUCAUAGCUCGGCAAGGACGGGAGCCAGGGUUGUCCGAUCUGUGCUCUAACUGCUGGGUGCUCGGUCGGCUCCCGCUCUACCUCUCCCCGACCUCCGUGGCCCUCGGGCGCCUGAAGCCGCGUGGGGGCCGCGAAGGCAGGCGACUUGGCCAGGGGAGAGCCGCAAAGGGUUAACGGGCUCCGCCGCAUUGGGCCGGCCUCCGGCGGAACCAGCCAAUGGGCACGCGCGGCGAUGAGGUAAUGCCGGGACGCGCGGGGUGGGCGGGGCCGGCGCGGAGCCCGCUGCGCCCGCCUGCGCUCCCCGCGCCAACCCCUCACCUUUGACCUUGCUGUCCUCCGCCCCUCCUCCCAGCCUCUGCCUGGCAGAAGCCCCAGCUGAAGCCGAGGACGGCGGGCCUCCCUUAGAGCCUGCGGCGGGAGCCCGGCACGUCCCGGCCCGACCGCACCCUCUGGGCCUCAGUUUCCCUUGGUGAUCGCCACCGGUCCUCCCGCGGGCCCCAGGACAGUUUGCAGCCCCUCCCCGCCCUUGACCUGGCCCUCCCAGGAGAUGCCCAGCGCCAAGGACCAAGGAGUUCCCGGGCUACGGGCAGGGGGCCCAGUCACGCCGUCUACGUGACCCCGCCCCACCUAUCCCCUGGGUGGCCGCCCUUGACACGUCCCUCGUGCCCCUUCGCCGUCACCUGGCCCUCAGCGGCACAGGCAGCAGCCAGGCUUGCCAGGGUUCAGAGUUCAUCCAUCCACGGUAUUAACUGAGCGUCUACUACGUGCCGCUCGGAGCAGCGGGCUUGGAUGUCGCCUGGCUGCCUUCCGGGCUGCCCGCCACCCGCCGCCCCUCGCGGCCGCGCCGGGCACGAAGCGGUUAAGGCCUUUGCAGCGAGCUGGCACUGCGGCGCUGCCCGGGCUUAUUAGUCAGCU